rnacentral:rRNA from 1 species
AGAGUUUGAUCCUGGCUCAGGACGAACGCUGGCGGCGUGCUUAACACAUGCAAGUCGAACGGAGUACCCUCGAAAGAGAUUUCGGUCAAUGGAGAGGACUGCUUAGUGGCGGACGGGUGAGUAACGCGUGAGGAACCUGCCUUUCAGUGGGGGACAACAGUUGGAAACGACUGCUAAUACCGCAUAACGUAUUUGUGUCGCAUGGCAUUGAUACCAAAGAUUUAUCGCUGAGAGAUGGCCUCGCGUCUGAUUAGCUAGUUGGUAGGGUAACGGCCUACCAAGGCGACGAUCAGUAGCCGGACUGAGAGGUUGGCCGGCCACAUUGGGACUGAGAUACGGCCCAGACUCCUACGGGAGGCAGCAGUGGGGAAUAUUGGGCAAUGGGCGCAAGCCUGACCCAGCAACGCCGCGUGAAGGAAGAAGGCUUUCGGGUUGUAAACUUCUUUUGACAGAGAAGAGCAGAAGACGGUACCUGUCGAAUAAGCCACGGCUAACUACGUG